CCUACGGGAGGCAGCAGUGGGGAAUAUUGGUCAAUGGACGAAAGUCUGAACCAGCCACGCCGCGUGCAGGAAGACGGCCCUAUGAGUUGUAAACUUCUUUUAUACGGGAGUAAAAGCUUCCACGUGUCUGUUUAUGUAUGUACCGUAUGUAUAAAGAUCGGCUAACUCCGUUCCAGCACCCGCGGUAAGACGGAGGAUGCGAGCGUUAUCUGGAUUUAUUUGGUGUAAAGGGAGCGUAGGCGGACGGUUAAGUCAGAUGUGAAAGCCUGCGGCUCAACCGCAGAAGUGCAGUGGAAACUGGUAGUCUUGAGUGCAGUAGAGGUAGGCGGAAUGCGAGGUGUAGCGGUGAAAUGCGUAGAGAUCAGGAAGAACACCGAUUGCGAAGGCAGCUCACUGGACUGCAACUGACGCUGAGGCUCGAAAGCGUGGGUAGCAAACAGGAUUAGAUACCCGUGUAGUC
rnacentral:rRNA from 1 species